rnacentral:lncRNA from 1 species
GAAAAAGAUGAAGGAAAGGCCUGACUUUUGUAUCUAGUCACAGACACUGCCAGAAGGCAGCAACACAACAUGAAGCUCAUUCCAACUGAAACACAACAAAGGAGAUACCACAGAUAUUUUGAACAGGAUCUGGGGGCCAGAAGAGCAGGAAGAAGACGGAACACACAUCCAAAUAUAGUGGUGAAAAGGCAGAUUCUUGUAGGUUGUGACAAGGAAGUUAAUAUCCACCAGCAGGAAUGGUCAUUGUCUCUUUCCAAUAGCUGUUUUCUUAAGAAUGGUGCUGGAGAACAUCAUUUCAGUGAUGGACAAAAGUUAUCACACCUACUGCUACAUUACAAAGAAGGUGAGACUUGACAGCAUUUAACAGUUCUCUGGCAUAAGCUGGACAAAAGCAGUGGUUGGAUGUUUUUAGCUUGUUUUCUGUAGACAUCUUCCCCAUUAGAGUAGGUGGGUGAGGAAGGGACAGUUGACCAGACUCUACAUAAGCAAGAACCGUGUGGCUGAAAUGUCCACAAGUAAUUAAAAACAAUGAGUGAUAUUU